rnacentral:rRNA from 1 species
GACGAACGCUGGCGGCGUGCCUAAUACAUGCAAGUUGAGCGAUGAAGAUUGGUGCUUGCACCAAUUUGAAGAGCAGCGAACGGGUGAGUAACGCGUGGGGAAUCUGCCUUUGAGCGGGGGACAACAUUUGGAAACGAAUGCUAAUACCGCAUAAUAACUUUAAACAUAAGUUUUAAGUUUGAAAGAUGCAAUUGCAUCACUCAAAGAUGAUCCCGCGUUGUAUUAGCUAGUUGGUGAGGUAAAGGCUCACCAAGGCGAUGAUACAUAGCCGACCUGAGAGGGUGAGCGGCCACAUUGAGACGGAGACACGGCCCAAACUGCUACGGGAGGCAGCAGUAGGGAAUCGUCGGCAAUGGACGAAAGUCUGACCGAGCAACGCCGCGUGAGUGAAGAAGGUUUUCGGAUCGUAAAACUCGGUUGGUAGAGAAGAACGUUGGUGAGAGUGGAAAGCUCAUCAAGUGACGGUAACUACCCAGAAAGGGACGGCUAACUACGUG